rnacentral:misc_RNA from 1 species
GAUGAAGAACGCAGCGAAAUGCGAUACGUAGUGUGAAUUGCAGAAAUACGUGAACCAUCGAAUCUUUGAACGCAUCUUGCGCUCCUUGGUAUUCUGAGGAGCAUGCCUGUUUGAGUGUCAUUAAAUUCUCAACUACACUGACUUUGAAUUGGUGUGGCUUGGAUUUGGGGGGAAAAUUGUUGUGGGCUUUUUGUAUAGUCUGCUCCCCUGAAAUUGAUUAGCGGUACCUUUGUGGAACUGUCUACAGGUGUGAUAAUUAUCUACAUCUUAGACAUCUGCUGGAAUGCUGCUUUCUAAACCUUACUUGUAUUGACAAUCUUGACCUCAAAUCAGGUAGGACUACCCGCUGAACUUAAGCAUAUCAAUAAGCGGAGGA